AAGGAUUGGAGCUAUUAAUGUUCUUUGCUCAUCCGCUGAUGCAGCGACAAGGUACAGUCACCCGCACUAACAACUACAUAAUUGUCCUCUUAUAGGAAAAAUGAUGUUGCACUGGAAAACAAUGGUUCCAUAUGAAAUGCCAAUUACGAGAUGUUGCCCCUUUGCUUGGAUAUUGUUUGCUACAAUUGGUAUCUCCUAUCACCUGAGCUUAUGCUUGAUUGGAUUUUAUGUGGGUGAACCAA
rnacentral:lncRNA from 1 species